rnacentral:rRNA from 1 species
CCUACGGGAGGCAGCAGUGAGGAAUAUUGGUCAAUGGACGCAAGUCUGAACCAGCCAUGCCGCGUGCAGGAAGACGGCUCUAUGAGUUGUAAACCGCUUUUGUACGAGGAUAAACGCAGAUACGCGUAUCUGUCUGAAAGUAUCGUACGAAUAAGGAUCGGCUAACUCCGUGCCAGCAGCCGCGGUAAUACGGAGGAUUCAAGCGUUAUCCGGAUUUAUUGGGUGUAAAGGGUGCGUAGGCGGUCGGAUAAGUUAGAGGUGAAAUCCCGAGGCUCAACUUCGGGAUUGCCCUUGAUACUGUGUGACUAGAGAGUAGUAGCGGUAGGCGGAAUGCAUGGUGUAGCGGUGAAAUGCGUAGAGAUCA